rnacentral:rRNA from 1 species
CAGUAGCCGCGGGAAUACGUAGGUGGCAAGCGUUGUCCGGAAUUAUUGGGCGUAAAGGGCUCGCAGGCGGUUUCCUAAGUCUGAUGUGAAAGCCCCCGGCUCAACCGGGGAGGGUCGUUGGAAACUGGGAAACUUGAGUGCAGAAGAGGAGAGUGGAAUUCCACGUGUAGCGGUGAAAUGCGUAGAGAUGUGGAGGAACACCAGUGGCGAAGGCGACUCUCUGGUCUGUAACUGACGCUGAGGAGCGAAAGCGUGGGGAGCGAACAGGAUUAGAUACCCCAGUAGUCCCUGUCUCUUAUAC